ACGGCGAGUGAAGCGGCAACAGCUCAAAUUUGAAAUCUGGCCUCCAGGCCCGAGUUGUAAUUUGGAGAGGAUGCUUUUGGUGCAGCGCCCCCCGAGUUCCCUGGAACGGGACGCCGUAGAGGGUGAGAGCCCCGUACGGGUGGACGCUAAGCCUCUGUAAAGCUCCUUCGAAGAGUCGAGUAGUUUGGGAAUGCUGCUCUAAGCGGGAGGUAAAUUUCUUCUAAAGCUAAAUACCGGCCCAAGACCGAUAGCGCACAAGUAGAGUGAUCGAAAGAUGAAAAGCACUUUGAAAAGAGGGUUAAACAGCACGUGAAAUUGUUGAAAGGGAAGCGCUUGUGACCAGACUUGCGCCCGUCGGAUCAUCCAGUGCUUUGCGCUGGUGCACUCCGGCGGGUUCAGGCCAGCACCGGCCUCCUUGGGCGGAUAAAAACGGCGGGAACGUAGCUCCUUCGGGAGUGUUAUAGCCCACCGUAGAAUACGCCCCGGGGGGCCGAGGUUAGCGCUCUGCAAGGGUGCUGGCGUAAUGGUCACCAGCGGCCCGUCUUGAAACACGGACCAAGGAGUCAAGCAUUAGGGCGAGUGUUUGGGUGUUAAACCCGCACGCGUAAUGAAAGUGAAUGCUGGUGAGAGCUUCGGCGCAUCAUCGACCGAUCCUGAAGUAUUCGGAUGGAUUUGAGUAGGAGCCUUGCCGCUUGGACCCGAAAGUUGAUGAACUAUGCCUGUAUAGGGUGAAGCCAGAGGAAACUCUGGUGGAGGCUCGCAGCGGUUCUGACGUGCAAAUCGAUCGUCAAAUAUGGGCAUGGGGGCGAAAGACUAAUCGAAUCAACU
rnacentral:rRNA from 1 species